rnacentral:rRNA from 1 species
AUUGAACGCUGGCGGCAGGCCUAACACAUGCAAGUCGAACGAGUGGCGGACGGGUGAGUAAUGUCUGGGAAACUGCCUGAUGGAGGGGGAUCACUACUGGAAACGGUAGCUAAUACCGCAUACCAUCGGAUGUGCCCAGGUGGGCUUAGCUAGUAGGUGGGGUAAAGGCUCACCUAGGCGACGAUCCCUAGCUGGUCUGAGAGGAUGACCAGCCACACUAGAACUGGGACACGGUCCAGACUCCGACGUGAGGCAGCAGUGGGGAAUAUUGCACAGUGGGCGCAAGCCUGAUGCAGCCAUGCCGCGUGUAUGAAGAGGGCCUUCGGGUUGUAAAGGACUUGCAGCGGGGAUGCGUUACCCGCAGAAGAAGCACCGGCUAACUCCGUGCCAGCUGCCGCGGUAAUUC